GCCGUGGUGGCUGUCGGCGGUCAUAACCUAAAACUAAACUAAACUUUCUUUGCUUUUCGGAUUUGCAACUAUCGUUCAAUUUGUUUUAUACAUUAAAGACGACCAUGAGGAUGAAAGGGUUCCAUAAAUCUGUGCCUGUUAAUUAUUACUGCCCAGCUUUCUGCUGCAGGCGGUUUUAAUUUUAAAAUUAUAUGGCUACAUUUGAUGAUAUAUCCUUACUCAUCUGAGUCGUCAAAUUGUUAAAAUUUGACAGAAUGGAAGAUGAUGAAAUAUAGCAGGUACUUACGAGGUAUUGUAACCUUAGAUGUUGUUCUCCUGGUGCAGCAGCCUUUGUUGUUUGUUGUGCCGAGCUUCUGAGGUUACAUGCCAUAUGAUUAUAAAUGUCUUGUUUCCUGAUUCCUUCUGUCAAUUUUCCAAUUAAGUUUUACACCACAAAAAUCAAUUUCAUUUUUGUCAUUCUUGAACAUGUUUCAUUUUGUUAAAUUGCUUGUCUAAUAUUAUGUGAUGCCCAAGGGAUAAUUUUAGAAUCCCGAACUCAUACCAGAUGGUAAAACCAUGUCCCAUACGCGACUGCUUGAGUUGUGUUAGACCAUAAAAAAAAAAGCGAGAUGAGAACUAGAGAAGCAUCAAUGGGGACAAACGCUCGAGAACAGACUUUGUGACGGUGAGGGAGAAGGGCGUCUUAACACGUUUUUAGGACAGCCCCGGGCAGGUGUGACUUGCACCUCUUUUUUAGGACAACCAAACCUCCCAGCAACCUUAUGCCAUAAAUUGGAUAGCAACCCAACAUUUUAGUCCAUCGUCAUCAGAUUGUAGCUCCAAUUUAAAGAAUCCAUCUCUUUCGAUUUUCCGCUUCUUGUUUAUUUGAUUUAUGGGAGGAAUGUGACCUUCCUAUGAAUAAAAGGAAUCUUGAGGAAAACAUUCCAAUAUCAUUUCCAUCGUGUUAUAAUUAUAUGAAACAAAAGAGAGAAUGGUGUCAGUUGUCUCUUCUUGUUCCAGUUUUCUUUACUUCAUUAGAUUUCGAUAUAUGUUGAAAAGCGCCAACACUUCUCAGACACCUCACUGAUCAUGCCAAUGCGAGAUGAAAUUGGCGGUCCUUGUGGAUUAAGAACACAAAUCCUGAUUUGUGAUUUCUAA
rnacentral:lncRNA from 1 species